AACGAACGCUGGCGGCAUGCCUAACACAUGCAAGUCGAACGAGACCUUCGGGUCUAGUGGCGCACGGGUGCGUAACGCGUGGGAACCUGCCCUUAGGUUCGGAAUAACAGUUAGAAAUGACUGCUAAUACCGGAUAAUGUCUUCGGACCAAAGAUUUAUCGCCUUUGGAUGGGCCCGCGUAAGAUUAGGUAGUUGGUGGGGUAAAGGCCUACCAAGCCGACGAUCUUUAGCUGGUCUGAGAGGAUGAUCAGCCACACUGGGACUGAGACACGGCCCAGACUCCUACGGGAGGCAGCAGUGGGGAAUAUUGGACAAUGGGCGAAAGCCUGAUCCAGCAAUGCCGCGUGAGUGAUGAAGGCCUUAGGGUUGUAAAGCUCUUUUACCAGGGAUGAUAAUGACAGUACCUGGAGAAUAAGCUCCGGCUAACUCCGUGCCAGCCGCCGCGGUAAUAC
rnacentral:rRNA from 1 species